rfam:Elusimicrobia bacterium GWA2_56_46 gwa2_scaffold_83, whole genome shotgun sequence.
GCGGGCGUGGUUCAAUGGUAGAACGGAAGCUUCCCAAGCUUUAGACGUGGGUUCGAUUCCCAUCGCCCGCU